AGAAAGAAAAACAAAAGAUGACAGGAAACGCCACAGUGUUUCGAACACCUCAACUAGUGAUUAGCCGUCUCGUCCACCGCCAAAGCUCGACUUAAUUGCUUCAGUGGACCCCAGCCGCCAAGGUUGGAGAACACCCUCUCUUAUGGACUUCUGUUGCUGCUGCUGCUGAGAGCUUGCUGUGAGUGUGUCCAACCAAGCUUCCGUUGUCGAAGGAAGAACUACUACUACUUACUACCUACUACUUACUACAUCUUAUGUAAUAAGUUAAGGGUUCAAGUGUUGCUGAGGGAAACAAUACUCCACAGCUAUUGGUUUCCCUGUGCUCGCCUCUUAAAACCAAACCCACGCCAUUAUAGACUUCCCUAUUCAACUCUUAAAACCAAACUCCAUUUCGUCUUUCACACUUAAAGAGUCUUGAAGUGUCCACCACAGCUGCAGUGAACCGUCAUGUUGGGCUGCUUCACCUGCAGGAGGAACACUGGUUUUCACACUGCAGAUCCUGAAGAACAAGAGCCAUGGAAUUGUUCUGAAUCAAGUCAAUCAGCUGCUGCUCGAUGUCUCCCGUGGAGUACCUGGUGUCACACACCGGACAAAGCCACACACGCCUGAGGAUGAUGUAGU